rnacentral:rRNA from 1 species
GACGAACGCUGGCGGCGUGCUUAACACAUGCAAGUCGAACGGAAAGGCCCUGCUUUUGUGGGGUGCUCGAGUGGCGAACGUGUGAGUAACACGUGAGUAACCUGCCCUUUACUUUGGGAUAACUUCAGGAAACUGGGGCUAAUACCGGAUAGGAGCUCCUGCUGCAUGGUGUGGGUUGGAAAGUUUCGGCGGUUGGGGAUGGACUCGCGGCUUAUCAGCUUGUUGGUGGGGUAGUGGCUUACCAAGGCUUUGACGGGUAGCCGGCCUGAGAGGGUGACCGGCCAAAUUGGGACUGAGAUACGGCCCAGACUCCUACGGGAGGCAGCAGUGGGGAAUAUUGCACAAUGGGCGGAAGCAUGAUGCAGCAACGCCGCGUGCGGGAUGACGGCCUUCGGGUUGUAAACCGAUUUCGCCUGUGACGAAGCGUGAGUGACGGUAAUGGGUAAAGAAGCACCGGCUAACUACGUG